rnacentral:lncRNA from 1 species
UCUUGACAAUAUUUUGUCUGUACUACAGUACAUGUUUAGAGGACUAGUUGGUUGACAACAUGUGUUUUCUUUAACAUUUUAAUCUUUCUCCAGACCUGAUUGAAAACCUACUAUCAUAUCUUAACAUUUUACAGUGCCAGAAUACAAACUGAAGUCAGACAUGACAGCAGCUGCUGCUGGAGCCAGUGCUGCUCUGCUAGUCGUCAUACCUGCCAUCGUCUACAUCUGGAUCAGAAUGAAGAGGACCUUGGAUCGACCGUCCACAAGUGGAGAAGGUGACAUCACAGUGCAGCUGAAGAGGCAAAAUUUAAACUGAAGGGGAUGGUGGGUCAUUGCAAAUGAAAAUAUGUGUGUAGAAUAUAUCCACAUAUUUAUAAGUGUAGAAUUAGAUGUAAAUACAAUACACAGUUUGGUUUCAUUCAACACAUUAAACUUUCAACUGUUGUUUUACUCUUCAUCUUCAUGGUUCAUCAGAUGUUGAUGAGAGUCAGUGCUAAAAACACAACAUAUGCAUAAAAUGAAGAGGCCUCAAAGUUUGUCUCAGGCGCCUGCGUUUUAUUCUCGUGGAAUGUUUUGUUAACACUGAACAGUCAUCAAGGAUUUGUCACUGCUUCUAUAAAGAACAGCAUCUGUGCAUGUGCUCAAUAAAAUAAUUUAUAAUAUCA